GGAGGAGGAAUUUGACAGCAUUCUUAGAGCCCUUAUUGAGCUCUGACUUGUUAUAGCUCUUUGUGCACAUCUCAUUUUUUAAGACCCUUGCGCUCCUUGAGGCAGAAGCACAUUAGCUGAGAAGCAUUUUCUUCCUCAGCCCCCAGCACAGAGCUUUGCACAUAGAAGUUGCUUCAUAAAUGUUUGCCAGAAACAAAGUGAGCUGUAUAUGUAACUUUGCAAGGGAUCAGUAAAUUAGAAAGGGAACAACUAGUUUCAAGAUGUUUAGAAGAAUUAAAGCAAGUGGGAAGGGACUUAAGUUGCAUAGUUACCUAAAUUAUAUUGCCUGUGGCUUUGAUUUCUUCUGAACUGAAAGGCUUACUGACUUUUUUCAGGCUUGCUUUGUGUGCAUGACAAGACUAAAUAGGACAUCAACAAUGUACUUCACAAAGACAGAGUUUUACCAUGUUGACCAGGCUGGUUUCCAACUCCUGACCUCAAGUGAUCCAUCAGCUUGGCCUCCUCAAAGUGCUUGGAUUACAGAUGUGAGCCAUUGCACCCGGCCCAAAUUUACUGAAGUUUUUUAAGUAAAAAAAAAUGAGUUUCUUCCCAGUCUGAUGCAUACUUCUUCAAGAAUAAAGGAUUCUUGAAGGCUUCCUUGCCUUUGAAGGGUCAUGUACCUCCCCUCUCUCUGCAGCUCCAUCUUCAGGUCUGUUUUGCUCUUGCAAAUGGGACACACAAAUGUGGACUAACACCUUCUCUUUGCUGUGUAGCUUCAAGUCAAUCCUUUCAGGCAGAUCCUCUCACAAAAUUGAGAUGUGCUGCCAUUUAAAAUGCCAGGCUGUGUUUAUUGAGCAAGAGGGUUCAUAAAAGUGUAUUUUGUCAUCACUGUUGAAGAGCCCAAACAUCCCCUUGGCAGCAUUGCUUGAAUGUCUAAAGAGCCUCACACAGUGUGUGAACUGAAGAAAAACCCUGACAAAAUGUUUAUGGAAGCAGCAGGGCUGGUAAGAACACAAGUGCUCUAAGCAGAAUGCCCGCCCUGCCUGUGAAACAUUCUACAUUCAAGUUCCUUUCAUAGGGCCAGGGCAUAAAACCUGAUCAUAAAGUGCAUAGCUAAUGAAAGAAAUAUGCCUUUUAAUAGGCCCAGUAGACCCAGUAAACUACAUGAGGUUGGUUCAUAAUCUUUCGUGCCCAUUACUUCUUGCAUUCAUUUCCUUUCUGUGGCUCUCACAUGGCUGCAUGUUCUAUGUUAUCAUGAUCCUGCUCAAAUUCCUUUGUGAGUAGGUUCCAUCCCCCCAUAGACCUCGCCACCCUGUGAGCUUUUGGAAAAGAGUAUUUGUACUUGCCCUGUGGCACCAUGAACAACUCUUUUUAUUUUGGUGUUCUUUCCCUUCAAGUAGCUUUCACACUUCUUAAA
rnacentral:lncRNA from 1 species